CCUCCUGGCGGGUCCUGGAAGAUCACCAAGCGUGAGGCUUGUCUGUGAAGGAGCAGCGGCUCCGGGGCAGGGGAAGGACAGCCCCCAGAGCAUCCAGGUCAGGAGUUUUCUUCGAAGGCUGAGCCCUGUCUGCGGCUGGACCAGACCAGGAGGAGGGGUUAGAUGGUGACGAAGACGAUGAUGAUGAUGAUGAUGCUUCUGAGUGCUUGUGUGAUGGGUGCCGUGAAGCACAUUACGUACAUUAUUGCGGUGCGCUCUCCAGACAACCCUGUGAGAGUCACUGGGAGCCUGAAGGAGGACAUUGCUUGUGAAUUACCCAGCCCAGGGUCUGGUGCAUGCUGAGGUUGCUGUCAGGAUGGAAGCCCAAAGCUGCCAUCGUUUGAGGAGAGACGGAUACCUGCCAGCAGGAGCUGGGCACCUGGAUCCAGCCAUGUCUGAAGCCAGAGACCCAUGGACAUUUUAGUUAUGUGAGCUAACGAAUUCCCCUUCCUGCUUGCUAAGUCAGUUUAAGUUGGAUUUCUGUUAUUUGCAGUGAAAGUGCAGCAAGCCCACCCCAGGUCCCUCCUUCUGUGCAAACUCUUGUCCUUCAGCUUUGCCUGCGGUGGGGCCAGUGGGUCUCUGCUCUGCCCUUAGCAGGAGAUCCCUACAUCUCCCUGAGUCUGCUGGCCUAUCGCUGCUCAACAUCUGUGUCUCCAAUUGGACCCACCCUGUUCCUCUCACUGUUUUCUCCUUGGGUUAAUGUGAUUCAGAAUUCUUUCCAUUACAAGUGAGAGCAGCCCACAUCACAUCGGCCUGAGUGAAAAGGGAAUUUGACGGCCCGGGAAGAGGCCAGAGGAGGACCUGGGGGUCUGAAACCAGGGCUCAGGGCCACCAGGAUUCUCUGUGCCCAUCACUCACCUCUGCUUGUCUCUGCUUCCCUUCGGGGUUGGCCUCAUUGUCUCCCUUGGCCAGCAGCAGCCCAGCCUGGCGACCUCAGUCCAAAACAAGAGAGCUACCUUCUCCGGGAUCCAUGUCAGUCCCAAGGAAGGACUUUGACUGGCCUUGUUGGGGUCAUGUGCCCACUUUUGGACCAAUCACUGCUGCCAGGUGGAACCUGACUUUCAGGAUGUGGACAAUGCACAUCAUGGAUUGCAUUGAUUAGUGAUGUCUGCUAUAGGCACAGGAAGGGAAGUACUGGUGCAGAUGCCUCAUAUUUGCCUUCCCUCAUUCAUUCAGUGUAUAAAAUUGUGUGUAUGCCUAUAUCCUAUUUAAUCAUAUGAAAUUUCAUAAUCUGCCUU